GAUGUGACUGGUGCUCAGGGAGUCAGGUGGAACCUGUUGACUGGAAGAACAAGCUUGUCUGGCCCAAGACCUGACACCUGCAGAGCAGGGAGAAGAGCCAGCAGCCAGGCCAGCAGCCAUGCAGAGGGGACUGGGGGCUCUGCUGGGGCUUCUGUGGGUGCAACUUUGCUGUGAGUCCGGUUCCUCCCAGAUGGGGCUGGGAGUGUUGUAGGGCUGACAGUGUGAGGGAGGGCAGGGAGAGCUGGCACCAAGCCCCCUCCCUGUCCUCCAUCCUCAGGGUGUUCCCUGGGGUAUUCUGCAGGUUUAUGAACUGGUCAUGGAUUCUGCAGUGACACCAGCUGAGUUUGCUUUUCUCUUUCCAAGCAGGGGUGAGAGGGCAGCAGGUGGAGCAGAGUCCUUCAGCCCUGAGGCUCCAGGAGGGAGCCAGCCCUACUCUGAGGUGCAAUUUUUCCACCACCAUGAGAAGUGUGCAGUGGUUACGACAGAAUCCUGGGGGCAGCCUCAUCAGUCUGUUUUUACUGACUCCAGGGACAAAGCAGGAGGGAAGGUUAAAGGCAACAAUGAAUUUUCAGGAGCGCUACAGCACCCUGAACAUCUCCACCUCCCAGAUGGAAGACUCAGGCACCUACUUCU
rnacentral:lncRNA from 1 species